AGCCGGUACUCGCGAAUGAACCUACGCUUAAGUUUGAUCAUGGCUCAGAGCCCAACGCUGUAGGUAGGCCUAACACAUGCAAGUCGAACGGCAGCACAGGAGAGCUUGCUCUCUGGGUGGCGAGUGGCGGACGGGUGAGGAAUACACCGGAAUCUACUCAUGUCGUGGGGGAUAACGUAGGGAAACUUACGCUAAUACCGCAUACGACCUACGGGUGAAAGCAGGGGAUCUUCGGACCUUGACGCGAUUGAAUGAGCCGAUGUCGGAUUAGCUAGUUGGCGGGGUAAAGGCCCACCAAGGCGACGAUCCGUAGCUGGUCUGAGAGGAUGAUCAGCCACACUGGAACUGAGACACGGUCCAGACUCCUACGGGAGGCAGCAGCUGGGGAAUAUUGGACAAUGGGCGCAAGCCUGAUCCAGCCAUACCGCGUGGGUGAAGCAAGGCCUUCGGGUUGUAAAGCCCUUUUGUUGGGAAAGAAAUCCAGCCGGCUAAUACCUGGUUGGGAUGACGGUACCCAAAGAAUAAGCACCGGCUAACUUCGUGCCAGCAGCCCGCCGNGUAAUUAACGAAGGGGUGCAAAGCGUUACUUCGGAAUUUACUUGGGGCCGUUAACAAGGCGUUGCCGUUAAGCGGUUGGUUUUUUCACGUCCCGGUUNGUGGAAAAGCCCUUGGGCCUUCAAUCCCUUGGGGAACUGCACGCUUGGGAUUACUUGGCGNUUGACUCGACUGUGGCUCGACAGGGUUAGCCGGAAAUUCCUGNUGNUAUCCGUUGUCAACUUGCGCGUUCGCANNACUCCG
rnacentral:rRNA from 1 species